CGCAAAGGCAGUACAGGCCAGUGGUGUUUUUCUCAUACUGUAUUGCUCUCACACUGACUCUUCUGCUUCGUCCACAUUUAAGGGCCCUUGGGAUUCCACUGGACCCACCUGGAUAAUUUGGGACGCUCUUCCUAUCUCAAGGUCAGCUGAUUAGCAAUCUUAAUUCCACUAUACUUUAAUUCACCCUUGCCAUGUAACAACAUAGCCAUAGGUUCUAGAGAUGAGGAUGUGGGCAUCUUUGGGUGACCAUUAUUUGCCCACUACGAAGUCUAUUCAGGUUUGGAGACAUGUACCCUGUUUCUUCUCUGGUACCCUGGAAGCUUUGUUAGCCUCCAUAAGCUCUGUGUACUGUCAUGGGGAGACAGCAGUCAAGUAGACAUGAAAGUGAGGCUGCCAGUGAUUUCUGGGCCUCAGGGAUGAGCAUGGAGGUAGCUGCAAGAGCUAGCAGGCCCCACAGGGACCGACUGGUUAGGACAGUGAGGCAUGCGUGAAAACCACCACGAAACCCAUGAUGGGACCAGAUGAGGAUACAAUGCCUCAGAGCACGCCAGCGAAGGCCAGAUAAGAUUGCUUUCAGCAAUGUCAUGAGGGAGCUGCUGAUGACUGAGGAGGCCCACCCCAACAUUACAAAAGCCCUCCUGGAAGGGAGAAGGAACAACCUCUGAAUUGAUCCCCAAACAUCUAAAUUGGCUCAGAAAACACUGAGGUUACUGUGAAAACCCCGAUUCGACUAAGAUGAAGUUUCUGUCACUAGGCUGGAGGGGAAUUUGAGAUAGAAAUUAAGUUGUUGUAGAAAAACAAUGCAAGUUCAUAUUUCACACCCCUGAUUUUGUGCUGAGUUGUGCCUGCUACGUAUAAAUUGGGACAGUGUUUCUGUAUCUGCCUUUCUGACAACAGCAUUGGGAGAGACUCCUUAUUUGCAAGCACUUGGUGAAAUAAAAGCUCACUGUAAACCUAUGUUUUCCUCCUAAAGCCCCUUGGGUGACAUGGACAUUGAAGUCAAACCCUGGAGGGAGAAGUAUGUCACAUUCUGUUGAGGCUGUUCCCUCAUAGUUAUUUUGAAACCAUCACAUUUUCAGCAUUUCUUUUAAGACCAAGUAAAAUGUUAAAUAUAAAUCCCCACUCAGCUCGGUGCCUUGCUCAGAGGCAUGACUGCAGGGGGGCGCAGGCUGGGUGGGGGCCGGUGCCCUUCCUAGGUGGGGAGCAGGCACCUCACUUGGGUCAUCCUGAGUCACCACCUUCUGCUCACAGUCGCGCUCCCACAUGGUGCCCUCUAAUGAUUUCUCAUUAUAAUCUUAACAACUAUCAAGUCCACCAAUUUGCCCUACAAAUCACUGAAAGGCGCCCCUUUGGAAGAAAGUGGUCAGGGGAAGAAGUCACCAAGAGCUGUAAAAUUUGAGGCUUCAGGAGAUUUAAUUGCAAUGGUUUGGCCUCAGCUUAGAACCUCCUGCUAGACUGGUGAUGGUCUUCCCUGGAUGCUGGAGGUCCAGGCCCUGACACUGCGGAGACAGGGCAUUGGG
rnacentral:lncRNA from 10 species